rnacentral:tRNA from 2 species
GCCCCCGUAGCUCAGUCGGAUAGAGCAUCCGCCUCCUAAGCGGAAGGUCACCUGUUCGAAUCAGGUCGGGGGCG